UGCAAUAAGGGGGACCUGGGGGGGCCCCCCAAGCGAUCCCCGUUUUCUUCCAUCUUUCAAACUACGAACCCCUUGGGGCUGUGAUGCUCGUGGGGAAAAAGUCAGAUUGUUUGGUCAUCCUCCUUCGCACCUUGUAGAUAAAGUUGAUUCUAAAGAGUCUUGCCCCCCACUCUGUAAUAGAAGAAUUAGAGCAAUAGGAGAAGAUUUAAAAAAUUUAAGCUGGCAAACAUACAUGGAUUUGAUUUGCUAAAAAUUAUCUCUGGGCAGAUGGGAAGCAUUGGUGUGGACUGCAUUUUCCACAACUAGCAUAUUAGCCAGAAUCAAAUUAAGAUCCCACUAUAUGCAUUGGUAAUAAUGUAUUUAAAGAUGCAUCUGCUUUAUAGGCCAGCAUACAGUGGCCUGGUUUUUAGUCGGGGUUCAAUUGCAACUUGCCUUAGAAGAGGCAAAAGUUUAAUCAAGCCCAGUCUAUGUAGAAAUAUCAGCCUCUCCUGCCAGAGAUAUACAGUUAUGACAUCAUGGAUAAUAGACAGAUAUGGGCGAAACGAUGUGCUUCGCUUUUCAAAUAGUAUGUUGUUCCCUGUAAUACGUUUUCCAAAUGAAGUAAUUAUUAAAGUCCAUGCUGCAAGUUUAAACCCGAUAGAUGUUAAUAUGAGAAAUGGCUAUGGAGCAGCUGCUUUAAAUAUGAAGCGUGAUCCGCUGAAAUUGAAAAGCUCAGGGAGUGAAUUUCCUCUAAUACUUGGUCGAGAUGUAUCUGGUGAAAUUAUGGAAUGUGGGCUAAAUGUUUCCUAUUUCAAGCCUGGAGAUGAGGUAUGGGCUGCAAUUCCUCCCUGGAAGCAAGGCACUGUGUCAGAGUUUGUUGUAGCUAGUGGAAAUGAGGUCUCUCACAAGCCCAAGUCUCUUAGUCACACGGAAGCUGCUUCCUUACCCUUUGUCAGUCUAACAGCAUGGUCUGCUAUGAAGCAAAUUGGGGGACUGAACCAAGAUAAUUGCAGUGGGAAACGAAUAUUAAUCUUCGGCGCUUCAGGUGGAGUUGGUACCUUUGCUAUCCAGUUAAUGAAAGCUUGGGGUGGUCACGUGACAGCAGUUUGUUCUCAGGAUGCCAGUACCCUGGUGAAAAAGCUUGGAGCAGAUCAUGUGAUUGAUUACAAAUCUGGAGAUGUAGCAGAGCAACUGAAAAUGUUACCAUUGUUUGAUUUCAUCCUGGAUAAUGUUGGUGGAGCCACAGAAAAUUGGUCUCCAAAUUUCCUCAAGAAAUGGUCAGGAGCCACAUACGUUACCUUGGUUACACCCUUUCUACUGAAUGUAGACAGACUUGGAGUAGCUGAUGGCAUGCUACAAACAGGAGUCACCAUUGGAACCAAAGCUGUAAAGCAUCUCUGUAAAGGAGUCCAUUAUCGAUGGGCAUUUUUCACACCGAGUGGCCAAUCUUUGGAUGAAAUAACAGAACUGGUUGAUUCAGGAAAGUGGUAAAGGGGGUGGGAGUGAAGGCCAUGGAAGGUGGGACUUGAGAGAUGCAGCAGGGAAGGAAAUGCAGACACAAGAAAGGAGAAAAACAAAGGCACGGAAGAGGGAAACAGAAAGGAGGCUGGGGAAGGAAGAGAAACAAAAGGCAGAAAUAGUGGUGUUGCUGAAGAUCCGUCCAGUGGUUGAGCAAGUCUUCUCUCUUUCUGAAGUUCCAAAGGCCUUUCUUAAGCUAGAAGAAGGACAUGCACGUGGGAAAACAGUAAUAAAUGUAAUUAAUAAAAAAUAACUUCUAAAGCCA